rnacentral:rRNA from 1 species
UUAACACAUGCAAGUCGAGCGGAAACGAUGAUAGCUUGCUAUCAGGCGUCGAGCGGCGGACGGGUGAGUAAUACUUAGGAAUCUACCUAGUAGUGGGGGAUAGCUCGGGGAAACUCGAAUUAAUACCGCAUACGUCCUACGGGAGAAAGCAGGGGAUCUUUAGACCUUGCGCUAUUAGAUGAGCCUAAGUCGGAUUAGCUAGAUGGUGGGGUAAAGGCCUACCAUGGCGACGAUCUGUAGCUGGUCUGAGAGGAUGAUCAGCCACACCGGGACUGAGACACGGCCCGGACUCCUACGGGAGGCAGCAGUGGGGAAUAUUGGACAAUGGGGGGAACCCUGAUCCAGCCAUGCCGCGUGUGUGAAGAAGGCCUUUUGGUUGUAAAGCACUUUAAGCAGUGAAGAAGACUCUUCGGUUAAUACCCGGGGACGAUGACAUUAGCUGCAGAAUAAGCACCGGCUAACUCUGUGCCAGCAGCCGCGGUAAUACAGAGGGUGCAAGCGUUAAUCGGAAUUACUGGGCGUAAAGCGAGCGUAGGUGGCUUGAUAAGUCAGAUGUGAAAUCCCCGGGCUUAACCUGGGAACUGCAUCUGAAACUGUUAGGCUAGAGUAGGUGAGAGGGAAGUAGAAUUUCAGGUGUAGCGGUGAAAUGCGUAGAGAUCUGAAGGAAUACCGAUGGCGAAGGCAGCUUCCUGGCAUCAUACUGACACUGAGGCUCGAAAGCGUGGGUAGCAAACAGGAUUAGAUACCCUGGUAGUCCACGCCGUAAACGAUGUCUACUAGUCGUUGGGUCCCUUGAGGACUUAGUGACGCAGCUAACGCAAUAAGUAGACCGCCUGGGGAGUACGGCCGCAAGGUUAAAACUCAAAUGAAUUGACGGGGGCCCGCACAAGCGGUGGAGCAUGUGGUUUAAUU